rnacentral:rRNA from 1 species
AACGAACGCUGGCGGCAUGCCUAACACAUGCGAGUCGAACGAGACCUUCGGGUCUAGUGGCGCACGGGUGCGUAACGCGGGGGAACCUGCCCUUAGGUUCGGAAUAACUCCCCGAAAGGGGUGCUAAUACCGGAGAAUGUCUUCGGACCAAAGAUUUAGCGCCUUUGGAUGGGCCCGCGUUGGAUUCGCUAGUUGGUAGGGUAAAAGCCUACCAAGGCGACGAUCCAUAGCUGGUCUGAGAGGAUGAUCAGCCACACUGGGACUGAGACACGGCCCAGACUCCUACGGGAGGCAGCAGUGGGGAAUAUUGGACAAUGGGCGAAGUCCUGAUCCAGCACUGCCGCGUGAGUGAUGAAGGCCUUAGGGUUGUAAAGCUCUUUUACCCGGGAUGAUAAUGACAGUACCGGGAGAAUAAGCUCCGGCUAACUCCGUG